rnacentral:rRNA from 1 species
AUUGAACGCUGGCGGCAUGCUUUACACAUGCAAGUCGGACGGCAGCACAGAGAAGCUUGCUUCUUGGGUGGCGAGUGGCGAACGGGUGAGUAAUAUAUCGGAACGUACUGAGUAAUGGGGGAUAACUAAUCGAAAGAUUAGCUAAUACCGCAUAUUCUCUGAGGAGGAAAGCAGGGGACCUUCGGGCCUUGCGUUAUUCGAGCGGCCGAUAUCUGAUUAGCUAGUUGGUGGGGUAAAGGCCUACCAAGGCGACGAUCAGUAGCGGGUCUGAGAGGAUGAUCCGCCACACUGGGACUGAGACACGGCCCAGACUCCUACGGGAGGCAGCAGUGGGGAAUUUUGGACAAUGGGCGCAAGCCUGAUCCAGCCAUGCCGCGUGUCUGAAGAAGGCCUUCGGGUUGUAAAGGACUUUUGUCAGGGAAGAAAAGGCUGUUGCUAAUACCGACAGCUGAUGACGGUACCUGAAGAAUAAGCACCGGCUAACUACGUG